CCAGACUCCUACGGGAGGCAGCAGUGGGGAAUAUUGCACAAUGGGGGGAACCCUGAUGCAGCGACGCCGCGUGGGCGAGGAAGUAUUUCGGUAUGUAAAGCCCUAUCGGCAGGGAAGAAGAAAUGACGGUACCUGAAUAAGAAGCACCGGCUAAAUACGUGCCAGCAGCCGCGGUAAUACGUAUGGUGCAAGCGUUAUCCGGAUUUACUGGGCGUAAAGGGAGCGUAGACGGUUGUGCAAGUCUGAAGUGAAAGGCCGCGGCUCAACUGCGGAACGGCUUUGGAAACUGUGUAACUGGAGUGCUGGAGAGGUAAGCGGAAUUCCUGGUGUAGCGGUGAAAUGCGUAGAGAUCAGGAGGAACACCGGCGGCGAAGGCGGCUUACUGGACAGUAACUGACGUUGAGGCUCGAAAGCGUGGGGAGCAAACAGGAUUAGAUACCCCCGUAA
rnacentral:rRNA from 1 species